AGGUUCUCAUAAUUCUUACAUGAUUAAAAUCUGAUUUAUCAAAGGGUAAAAUGAAAAUAUAUAAUAUUAGUGUCUGUCCGUUCCAGUGGACCCCAGAGGACAGGUGUCCACAGCAGACAGAUGUUAGAGGCUUUUAUUUCCACUCUGUGAACACCCACAGCAGGACAGGGCUGUGUUUAUGUGUAGUGACACUGAGGUUCUAAACUCUUAUGUUUAUUGUGGAAACCAGACCUGAUGGUUUUAUACAUUUCUCCUCUGCUCAUUUACACAGACCUGUGAAGUGGUAGAGGAUUUAACAUAUCUCAGAGCCUCUGCUGUGUCAACACCAGUGUGACUGUGGACGUUUGCAGCUGAGUCAGUGUUUACUCUCACUGAAAGUAAAAUUAAUUCUCUGAUUUCAUUCGUCUGAAUUUGAGCUCACUGAAAACUGUUCAAGCAGAUACCUACAAAACGGACAAACAGGAAUAGAUUAAAGACUUAUAAAGUUUAAAUAAGCAUAUUUCCUGAUAUGAUUAACAUUGAAUCCAUAUGGAUUUGUUUGCCUGACUAAAAAUGUUUUUGGUACAUUUUAGUUUUAAGUCAGUUUGUGCUUAAACAUAACACUAUAAUCAGUGGUGAAUAAUAAACUAGAGAAUAUUCUGGUUUUGGUAAAAGCAUCAGUUUUGUGCCCACUAAUGUUAUAACUUCCUAAAACUAUGUUAAAAUAUGCACUUAGAUUUUUUUUACGUACAUGUUAUGAUAAAAUUUCAGAGAAAAUGUAAAUUUUUUAUUACAUGCAUCACAAUUAUUGCAUCGGUUUUAAACCGUAUCCAACCAUUACAUUAUUAUUAAUGAUUUACUUUUAAUGAGGUUAAGUGCAAAUUAUACUAGAUUUUUUGCAAAUGGUUGCAUAAUUCUGUGCCCCAAGCCCCUAGUUUACAUAAUCAGACACAUGAGGAGCAUCUCUCUGAUCCACGUCAGUAUAGCUCCAGUGUUUGCAAAGUAAAGUCCACAAUGAACCAACAGUGGUUUAUCUGUCAGGCCUUCUGCCAAAUCAGCCAAUCAGAGGAUAGAAGGCCGGUCUGGACUAACCCUAGCGUCUCCUGUGUUCCAGUUGAAGUCAGUGGAUGUGGUCUUAGUUGAUCAGGCAGCAUGUUUCCCAUCUCAGCAGUGACUCUGUUGGUUUUUCUGUCAGCUGAGUGCAUCAGCGCUCAGACUGUGAGUGUUCAGUUAGCUGGAAACAGCAGCACACCUCCAGCUGUGGAAGGUAAAACACACCUCUGUAAUGAUGCUGUGUGUCUGUGUGUGUGGGAGAGAGAGAGAAGUGUGUGUCGUAUACAAAGGUUUCAUGUGGUGACUGACUGCAGUGUCAGCUCAUCCUGUAAAUGUCUGCAGUGGAUGUAGAAGAAGCACUUAUUCUUUCCAUUCAUUGUC